CGACUCCACGCCGAAACUCCUCCCCCAGAUGUGUUCUUGAGGCACAAGAGGCCUGUGGUCCAGAGCAAAGAGCAAGGACAUGGAAAAUGCUGGAAAAUAGCGGCAGCCGAGCUGGAGCGACGUUCUGCAGGGAGACACGCUCAGGCCGGGAGAAGCAGCGGGUCUCUUGUGGUUGCAGGUCCACUGAACCCCUGCUGUUUCUGAAGAACGAAGCGGGCGGAUUGGCUUUGUUGUAAUCUUUGCAGCAAAAGGCACACUGUCAGAGAAACCUUUUGUUCGAUGCCGGGCUCUGACAGCUUACACUGACACACCAACAGCUGCCCGAGUUGUUGUUCUGUAAACAAGGUUUGGAAGCGCCAUGGAAGCCUUUUGAAGGGAUUUAAAAGGUUGGGUGCCACUGCUUCGACAUUCAAUGACAGAUCCAGCUGUGUGUGGAUCCAGUUAGCGUGAUGGGG
rnacentral:lncRNA from 1 species